CUAAGAAAAAGCAGAAGAAGAUCAUAAUUUAAAGGAACCUCUGAGAAAAUUCAAAGCUUCAAAAGCUGCAUUGCCAUGGAAUUGCAGCAUGAGCCAGGUUAGGAAGAAAAAUGGUGAGAGAAAAUGGAAAGAAGAAUUGCAUUUUGGUCAAGGAAGAGCAAACUUGGGAAGAGCUUUUGAUCCUGAAGAGGAGAUGCUUGCUGAAUGGGAUACUUAUCUGAGAGAAAAGCCUGUUCCAUCAGGCCAGCACCCCUGGAGGCAGCCGAAGAUUACCAGCCUGGCUGAAACUUUGGAGUCAGGUUAUUGUCUUAUCUUCACAGUGCUGUCUGCUGGUUUUAUUCUUCCAAUAGUAAUUAAAAGCACACAAGUAUCUCUGAGUCACAAUUUUAAGUAGCUACCCCACCUACCUGUAACGUGAAUAAGAAAGAUUAGCUUUGUAUAGAAUUCUCAGCUUGAAUGGCAAUUCUACACUAAAAGCACUAGUAAUGCUAUUUAAUGGGGUAAAAGGGUCUGGAAGGAAUUCUCAGCGGUACAAAAGCUAAUGUGCCACUUAACUCUUGUUGAGGUUUCUCUUGUAAGUGCUGACCUAGGACAAGACAAAUACUGCUGCACAGUGCCCAUGAAAAUGGACCCAGUCAUAUUGUAGGCCAGACUGGCCUUAGUCACUCACCAGGGUGAUAUUUUCUGGGUUUAGUGAAAUAUAAAUAUUUUAAUAAUUAAAAGAAAAUGCUUUCAUGUAUUAAAUACUGUAAUAUAUAUAUAUAUAUAUUUUAAAAAAGUAUAGUCGCUGUUCAGGAAACAACUUUCAAGCAAUGUUCACCCUCCCAAAAAGGAGAAUUAUAUAUAUUAUAUGUAGAUUGCAAAACAACCUUCUAGGAAAUGUUUGACGUACAAAGUAAUAUUUGGCUGUGACCUUGGAAGACAUUUUUUUUUUCCCGUUCUUCUUCUCUAGUUUCUCCUUUGGCUUUCAGACUGGUUUUACAAAAACUCCAAUUUCCUAACCACCUCUUUCAGUGCCUCUCAGCACUUUGGAAACUGCUUUGCCUUACAUAAAGUACUAUAUCUAAAUAAGUACACGUUAUCACAGACAGCUGAGGGUGAUUGCAUAAACAAAUUACAACAUUUUUAACAUUCAUACAAGCUUAUGAUCAGAAUAGUCAGAGGUACACUUUGCAUGCACGGUUCAGCAUUUUCAUACUUCCAUGAUUUUAUUUCCAAGCCAAAUUGCUUUCAAAAAGCAAAGCACAUAUUCAUCACCAAGAAUUAACUACAUACCAAGCUUGCAGAUUCAACACAAAGCUGCUUUUGAGUUGCCACAGCAUUAAAAAUAGCAUCUGAAAAAUUACUUGUGAAAAGUGAUUUUCCAUACAUGAAUAAUUUAAACAGACAAAUGGAAUUUUAUUAAACUCUGUUUUCUUACCACCUCAUGUUGUAUUUUGAGAAGAUGUAUGAAAUUUAAAGACUUUUCAGAAUAUUAAAGUGUAGCAGCAAUAGCAGUGAGAAUUUUAAGAGUGGCUCUUACAUACCAGAAAUGCUUUUGAGAACAAUCUACAUUUUCUGCAUGAUGGCUGUAUUUCAAAUGCCAUUUUCCCAGCCUUGACAGAAUUCCCCCUUACACUGAUAAGUAAUUAUACAGUCGGAUUUAGCUUAUAUUGAGUACUUAUCUGAAGACUUCCUCAUGGUUUUAAGAGAUUUUAAAGUUACUUAUUUUGUAAGCGUCGUACUCAUUUGUAGUCCUCCAUAGGAUAUAGCAUAUUUUACAAAUUUGAACAAAUGUUAACUAGAAUGUUUCUGUGAAGUAGGGCAAGGCAAGUAAGAGGUGGGAUGAGGGGAGGAAGAAAUAGGUGGAAAACUUUAUGACAGCACUUUAAGGCCAGUCACGUUAGUGGCUAGAUUGGAAGGGAGAACACUUGAUAGGGAAGGGGAAACAUGCAGAAAUGAAAAACAGACACAACAACAGGACCUGUUUGAGAAUAGCUAACUAUACUGAGUGGGAAGUCUCGUAAAACUGGCCUCAAAAACUGCUUUGCUCUGACCUGAAAAUAGCUCUUCUGCCUUUAAGUGCACCACAUUUUUUUUUAUAUAACUAACUUCCACCUCAGUUUGUUCAGUGACAACUAAAGCACUUGUGACUUCAUGAAUGAGUCAGACAAAAGUAAGAUUGAACUUGUAGAAUACAAUUACUGUGAUAACCAUCAGUAAUGCGAAUAUACCAGACAGUUUAAGACCUCGUUUAUCAGAUUUUCCAAUUUGAUUAUUCUAAAGUUUUCUUAGGUAGAAAGGUAGAUUGCUGUUAUAGAGGGACGUUUACUUCAUGUAAUAUUAUUUAAUUGAACAGCUCUGCGAAGUUAGACAAUCUGUUUUUGUCACAUUAUGGCUACCCAUAUAAUGGCCUCGACCUGUGUGCACACCCGCCAAUGAGAGGCAAGGAAAAGAUUACCAGUAGCUUUGGAGCAGACAUGCAUAAUGACCCCAUCAUUCUUAAGAAGCACAGAAUCAUCAAAUAAAAAUAAAGCUGUAGUAUUGCA
ensembl:lncRNA